rnacentral:misc_RNA from 1 species
UCGUAGGGCUUCGGCCCUGUCGAGAUAGAACCCUUGCCUUUUUGAGUACCUUUCGUUUCCUCGGCAGGCUCGCCUGCCAAUGGGGACCCCCAAAAAACACUUUGCAGUACCUGUAACAGUCUGAACAAAACUUAAAAAUUA